AGAGUUUGAUCCUGGCUCAGGACGAACGCUGGCGGCGUGCCUAACACAUGCAAGUCGAACGGAACUGUUUUGAAAGAUUUCUUCGGAAUGAAUUUGAUUUAGUUUAGUGGCGGACGGGUGAGUAACGCGUGAGUAACCUGCCUUCAAGAGGGGGAUAACAUUCUGAAAAGAAUGCUAAUACCGCAUGACAUAUCGGAAUCACAUGAUUUUGAUAUCAAAGAUUUUAUCGCUUGAAGAUGGACUCGCGUCCGAUUAGUUAGUUGGUGAGGUAACGGCUCACCAAGACCGCGAUCGGUAGCCGGACUGAGAGGUUGAACGGCCACAUUGGGACUGAGACACGGCCCAGACUCCUACGGGAGGCAGCAGUGGGGGAUAUUGCGCAAUGGGGGCAACCCUGACGCAGCAACGCCGCGUGAAGGAUGAAGGUUUUCGGAUUGUAAACUUCUUUUAUUAAGGACGAAAAAUGACGGUACUUAAUGAAUAAGCUCCGGCUAACUACGUGCCAGCAGCCGCGGUAAUACGUAGGGAGCAAGCGUUGUCCGGAUUUACUGGGUGUAAAGGGUGCGUAGGCGGCUUUGCAAGUCAGAUGUGAAAUCUAUGGGCUCAACCCAUAAACUGCAUUUGAAACUGUAGAGCUUGAGUGAAGUAGAGGCAGGCGGAAUUCCCCGUGUAGCGGUGAAAUGCGUAGAGAUGGGGAGGAACACCAGUGGCGAAGGCGGCCUGCUGGGCUUUAACUGACGCUGAGGCACGAAAGCGUGGGUAGCAAACAGGAUUAGAUACCCUGGUAGUCCACGCUGUAAACG
rnacentral:rRNA from 1 species